GGGACUCCGAAGUCCCAGGCUCUCCGUUUCAGUUAAGACAUAGGCUUCUCCAGCAGCAGCUCUCUUAUUGAGGUUCAGUCUGUGGGACACAGGGCAGUUCUUUGAUGUGUUCAAGCCACUGGGUCAUAUCCCACAAAGCCACGGCAGCCUUGAAAAAUAAUCACUAGGUACAGCAGUGUGUGCUUGCUGUUUCCAGAAACCAUCUAGAAUUGAGCAUCAAGCUUAGGACUCCGAAUUACAGAACACCCAUCACUGCACAGAUCUACAUCCGAAUAUACAGAACACCCAUCACUGCACAGAUUUCAUCUAAAAAGAUAAUCUGAAGAGAUGUGCUGCCUUGCCUACAGUCAUAAAACAGAAUACCACGGGGAAAUAAAAAUAAGAGUUUGCAUUAUAUCCUGACAUUUCUUAGAGGGCUUAAGUAAAGCCACACAGACCAAGAAGAACCUGGGUGAAGAAAGGAUCAGAAGACCCUAGAGGACACGGCAAACCCACCCAGGGGAAUGGCAUAGCUGUGCGUUGUCACUCCGUCUGAGCAUUUCUCAAAGUGUGGGAAGAGC
rnacentral:lncRNA from 1 species